UACGGGGGGGGCAAGCGUUGUUCGGAAUUACUGGGCGUAAAGGGCUCGUAGGCGGCCAACUAAGUCGGAUGUGAAAUCCCCAGGCUCAACUUGGGAACUGCAUCCGAUACUGGAUGGCUUGAGUUCGGGGGAGGGAUGCAGAAUUCCAGGUGUAGCGGUGAAAUGCGUAGAUAUCUGGAGGAAUACCGGUGGCGAAGGCGGCAUCCUGGACCGACAUUGACGCUGAGGAGCGAAAGCUAGGGGAGCAAACGGG
rnacentral:rRNA from 1 species